AAGAACCGUCACCUUCUCCGGUGAGAAGGCAGCCCAGUGGAUCGCCUUCUCCGGUGAGAAGGUGACCCACUGGGCUGUCUUCUCACCGGAGAAGGUGACGUUUUCU
rnacentral:pre_miRNA from 1 species